GCUGGGCACGGGGCGCAUGCCUGUAAUCCCAGCGCCUUGAGAAGCUGAGACAGGAGGAUAGUGAGUUCAAAGCCAGCCUCAGCAAAAAGAGAGGCACUAAGGAACACAGUGAGAUCCUGUCUCUA
rnacentral:sRNA from 1 species